GAUGGAUAAUUACAUGGGGUAAUGUCCUGUACUACUGAGAUCAUCAAUAACAGAUCUAUAGAGGGGCAGAGUCACAAUGGGGCACUUGCCUCCAUUUCUCUUCAAGAAAUCCUUACUUACAGGUGCAUAGAUGAAUUCAAAGUUUCAAACUGUUCCCUCUGCUCUCCUAAGGCACUAGGAGAGUAGUAAAUAACUGAACUUGGCUCUCAUCAUGCUAUGUUUAGUUUGUGGUAGGUUAUAAUGUGAGCUCUUAUAAAAGCUAUAUGCUUCCAUCAAGAAGGACAAAGAAAAAGACUUUAUUUUGUUAGAAUGCAUUCUCGAAUAUUUAUGCAUAUUAUUUUCCUAUGUAUGUAUGUGUUGCUCUCACCACCAACAAAAUUUCUUGGACCCACCUUGGUGCUCACUACUUGAUGAAGGGAACAUGCACGGUUGAUCAUUACUAAUUAUGGGAUACCAGAAGAAAGCUGUUUCCUUUCCCUGCUGAGUAGGAUGGCAUGUUUAUUGCUCG
rnacentral:misc_RNA from 1 species